ACACCAUCUAAACACUAUCUGUUGUGGAAUAUGGAAAGAACUUUAGUUAUAUGCAGAAAUGAAAGUUUUCUUCUACUAGAAAUAGAAGUAUAAAAGGUCAAGUAAUUCUAAAUUGUGCUUGUCAGUUUUAGAAAUUUCAAGUGAAAAAUCAUUUUGGAAGUACAGAAUGUAAUGUUUUAUUCUCACCUCUAUUCAGAAGCUUUGUAAAUCCCUAUUUACUCUAUUUCCCUUCUUCCUUUGGCUUUUGUUGCAAGCUGGCUGUUACAUAAUGGGAAACCAUUGCCUGAAUCGUCUGCUGUAGGUAUUUUCUACUUUCACUAACUAGAAAGCUUAAAGGGGCCGCAAGGGGACUCACUUAGAUUUUUUUCCGAUUCAUGUUGACUAUAUUAAUUACUGGAAUUACUUGUCUUGGUAACUGUUGAGAUAAACUCUC
rnacentral:lncRNA from 1 species